rnacentral:rRNA from 1 species
AUUGAACGCUGGCGGCAUGCCUUACACAUGCAAGUCGAACGGUAACGGGCCUUCGGGUGCCGACGAGUGGCGAACGGGUGAGUAAUGCAUCGGAACGUACCUUUCAGUGGGGGAUAACGUAGCGAAAGUUACGCUAAUACCGCAUAUUCUGUGAGCAGGAAAGCAGGGGAUCGCAAGACCUUGCGCUGAUUGAGCGGCCGAUGUCAGAUUAGCUAGUUGGUGAGGUAAAGGCUCACCAAGGCGACGAUCUGUAGCGGGUCUGAGAGGAUGAUCCGCCACACUGGAACUGAGACACGGUCCAGACUCCUACGGGAGGCAGCAGUGGGGAAUUUUGGACAAUGGGGGCAACCCUGAUCCAGCCAUGCCGCGUGAGUGAAGAAGGCCUUCGGUUGUAAAGGACUCUUUCGGUCCGGGAACGGAAA